GGGCCGGGUAGUUUNAUUGGAGCUAAAGCUCCGUAGCCGGCUCUGCAAGUCUUCGGUUAAAUCCACCUGCUCAACAGAUGGGCUGCUGGAGAUACUACAGAGCUAGGGAGUGGGAGAGGCAGACGGUAUUCAGUGGGUAGGGGUAAAAUCCUCUGAUCCAUUGAGGACCACCAGUGGCGAAGGCGGUCUGCCAGAACACGUUCGACGGUGAGGGAUGAAAGCUGGGGGAGCAAACCGGAUUAGAUACCCGGGUAGUCCCAGCUGUAAACGAUGCAAACUCGGUGAUGCAUUGGCUUAUGGCCAAUGCAGUGCCGCAGGGAAGCCGUUAAGUUUGCCGCCUGGGAAGUACGGACGCAAGUCUGAAACUUAAAGGAAUUGCGGGNNGGAGCACAA
rnacentral:rRNA from 1 species